rnacentral:rRNA from 1 species
AUGCUCCUGUUCGAUUCGGUGAAAUCUUGGUGGGAUGUGGUCCUCUCUGAUAACGCACACCUGACGAAGGCCCUGUCUUCUUUGUUACUACUUGUGGGAUGGGAGAUCUGGAAUGAAAGGAACAUUCGUGUCUUCAGGAACAAAGCGGUGCCAGUGGCGACUAUCAUGUGACGCAUCAAAGAUGAAGUUUCUAUUUGGGCCACUGCAGGGCGUAAGCAUUUGCGUAAUGUAAUGCCAUGAGAGUAA